rnacentral:piRNA from 1 species
UCACAAUGGCGUUGUUGUACCACAGUAGA